AAAACAGAAUACAACAUUAGUCAUCAUUAAAAUUCUGUAAAUUAUGAUUAGCUCAUAACGCAGAGAAACUCACAGCUGGCCAACAGAAAUGAACAUAACCGGGAGUAUCUGACUGCUCAGACUGGAAGAUGUUCAUGGUGUCUAUCAGAGAGACAUCCUGGGGGAAGAAACUGUCUCUGUGGCGGCUGGUAUUAGCAGACAACACUCUGCAGCGCCACCUGAAGGUGGCCUGGUAUCCUCUGGUGUGCCACAGGGAUCCAUUCUGGGGCCUGUGCUCUUCUUAGAUGACCUGCGAAUCUGUCUGUCAAACAUCAAGCAACGGCUCUCUCAAAACGUUCUCCACCCAAGUAAAACAUGCCCUCCCUCCCCACUUCAAUCAGGUGGUAAAAAAUCUAGUCUGCUGUCUAAAGUAAAGCCAUUCAAGGAGAAGGCCAUCCAUGCCAUUGUUAGUUCUAGACUUGAUUACUGUAAUGCUUUGUAUGUCGGUAUCAAUCAGUCCUCCAUUUCCCAUUUACAACUUGUACAAAAUCCUGCUGCUCGCUGACUGACUAACUCACAUAAACAUGAACAUAUGUGCCUUGCUCUAGGUGUAAGAAAUGGAGGGACCGGUCAUUUCCAGUGGCUGGCCCCGCACCCUGGAAUAGUCUUCCUGCCAUUUCUGACCUGGUUUUAUUCAAAGCUAAUUUUAAUUAUUUAAAAAGGCUUUUGACAUUUGAUGUUUAGUGUUUUGAAUUUUCGUUUUGUAUUUCUAGAUUUUACUUGACCUUGGCCAAUGCUAGGCAUUGUUAGAAUCAAUCAAUCAAACUAUAUUUAUAUAGCACCUUUUUUUGUUUUAUUGUGUUCUUUAUGUAUGUUUCAUUUUGUGAAGGACAUUGGCCAAUGCUAGGCAUUGUUAGAAGGUGCUAUAUAAAUAUAGUUUGAUUGAUUGAUUGAAAUGAAUGAAACAAGAAAACAGGGCAAUAUGUCAUCAUUUCAUCUAUUAAGGGAACCAAAGAGCCACUUGCGGCUCUGCAGGUGUAGGUUGCAGACCCCUGAUCUAGCAGAUGACAGCUGUGAUCCUAUCUCAAUAAGGUUGAGGCUAAGACUGCAUCACCUUAAUGUUUAAUUCAUUGUUAAAGUAGAACUGUAAAGGUAAAAAAUGAAAAUGGUCCAAGGGAACAAUAGGUUAAGGUUUCUGUCCCAGUGCAUAUCAUCAUAAGAAAUUGAUUUAGUAUUAUGUCUUCAGGGGCAUUGGUCCCUGUUGGCCCCUGUCUAGAACCGCCCAUGGCUCCAUGCACCAGUUUGGUUCAAGUUUCAGCUGUCGGACAGAUGUCUUCACAUUCAAAUCUACAUUACUGUGGUAGACAGAGGGGCACAUGUUCGAAGGACUCGUGGCUGCAACCCAGCCCACAUCACCAUCUCUCCACCACUGUGGCUGACAGUAGGUACAAACUUUAACAUGCUAGCUGAGCCCUUUAGAUUCUGGGUUCUGUGUAAUUUCUCUUUCUGAUCAUUGCACACUCUUACCUUGGGGUGACUUUGCUGGGACGUCCUUCCGGAAAGAUUGGCAGCUGUCUUAAAUGGUCAAAUCCAACUGUGGAAACCAUUCUUGACGAUGGACUUCAGGUAGCUGUGAAUAUGGCCUCAUAACUACCUCUAAGAUUGAUGGGCAGCCACAGUUGCCUCUCUGAGGUCAUUGUUGAUGUCUUUCUGUCUUUGUGUUGUGUUAACUCACACCUGUAUGCUGCAGACCAGCACACUCCAAAAACUUCUGCUUUCAUAGAGGUGCUCACAGUAUCAGCAGAUUUGAUAAAAGGCGUCUGACUUUUACAGAGAAGAGGCUUCCUCAUUCCAGCUUUCCAAAUAAGCCAUACUCGUUCAGUCUUUUCCUAACUGUUAUGUUAUGAUUUGGGGUUGUUUGGUUUUUGGUUUUUUCUUUAAAUGUUA